GAGCGGCAAUCGCAUAAAUCGCCAAUUCACCGCCACCCUCCCUGCCGCCGCCACCCAUUACUCUCUAUAAGUUUUCCUAGGCUUUUCAGGCAAUUUCCCGCUGAGCUUUGUUUGCUCAUUGGGCGCAUCCGUUGCCGGUUUGAUUCCGAGUCUCAUUGUUGUGUCAAUUGUUGUGCUCAUGUUGUUGCAGCAGUUGUUGCAUCUACUGCUGCUAUUUGUCAUUUGCCGUGCAAAGCGCACAAAUCUGAGACACAUUGCACUUUAUCAAGUCGCCAGUCAUAGUCGCAGUCACAGUCAUACCCAUAGUCAUAGUUAUAGUCAGAGAUCAAGGGAGCUCGGGAAAAAUCACAAACUACAAACUGGGGCUCCAUUGCGAUCCAGGGCCAAAAGGAAAAUUAUAGCGCGAUCACUUAACUCACGAUCGCGAUCGCGAUCAGUUGGGGGCAUUGAGAUUAUCCAGCUACUGGCAACGGAAGUUGCCUCGGACCAUGGAAACGCACGAAGUCACACGCGAAAAAUAUGCGCACCUGGUUGUAGAAUCUAGACCUUUGGCAGACAGGUGUUAACAAAAUAUACAACUUAACUUUUUUGAACAUUAACUUCAAUCUUAUAGUUAUUAGGAUUUCAUAUAUAUUAAUAUAUUCCCCAGAGAGGUGUUAAUGUAUAUUAUAUUUUAUUUAAAAUAUAUAUUCAACUGUUUCCCUCAGUGCACCUGCACCCUUGCAACCUCACUAGCCUGUUCGUUCCCUCGAAAUAAUUUUUAUUGAAUAAUUUUUCAUUAUUUUUCGUUUGAAUUGAGAGGCAGCAGUAGCCACAGCGCAGCCUCCGAAUCCGCCAACAUAGCCUGUCGCUGGAUCUGGGAGACCAAAAGACCGAAGAUUCGGAGACUGGAGAGCUGGAGAGCAGGAGAGCCUUCUUGGCCUGGCCUUCUUCUGCUGGGCCGUCAAAAACAAUAAAGUCCAAAACGAGCGAACAAUGUAAAUGGCAAGUCAUGAUUUCGCUGUUAUGCGCUGUUAAAAGGGGCGCUCGCCGUUCGACACGAUCAAGAACAAAAACCAAAAACCCAAAAACAAAAAAAAAGUGUGGGGGCACAGGAUGAGGCUGAGGAUGGGGGUUUCGUAUUGGGAUUGGGCCAAAAGAUGUGGAGGAUGCUACCGUUGCCAACAACGACGCCAACGCCAAUGCAAACGAUGGCCCGAAGACCAAAAGACCAGAAGACCAGAAGACAUGACCCAAAACAAUGCACACAGCCCAAAGAGAUCCCAUGCCAGCCCAGAAGCAAAAGCAAAGUCAGCAGUCAGCAGCCUCUGGAGAACCAACAAAAUACUUUACUCAUACUUUAUGCCCAAAAUGCUGCAGAGUGCCCGCGGGUUGACCAGAUCAAUGCAAUUGUUUGCCCCUUUUUAGUCAAGUUGUGCGCACUUCAUAAGCAAAUACAACAAAUCCAAACAACAACACACACACACAUCCGAGGAAAAGGGCCAAAAGAGCAAACAAUGGAAAAACCCAGGCUUUGAGUGCGGUGCUGCGUUUAUUUUCAUUUUUUUCUUGGGGUUUUGGAUUUUAUAUUUGGUAGAAAAGAGGAACGGAAAAGGAGUCAAGUCAAGAAGGUAGUUUGGCACUUUGAUUGGAACUACCGAAAAUUGCAGGAGAGCAUCACUUUCUUUGACGGACAUCGAAUCCUGAAAUGCACUACAAAAUAUAUUAAUUUGAAUGAUUAUACAGAUAAUUUAACUAUAUUGAUAACCAUGAAUACAUUAAUAAGUAAAAGUUAACAAAAGAAGUAGAACGUGUUAAUGAUUAACACAAUAAAUACAUGAUUACCCAGGAAUGCAAGUAAGAUAUUUGUUUUCCACAUUUUUUAAUGCUGAUUUAAAAUGAAGAGCACGCUCUACCUGCAAUACCCCACUUUCUUAGCCUAAGCGAAACUUCCUAAGCCAGUUAAACGUAACUCAGUCGCAAUUUGACAUACUGACGUGUUUAUAAAGCUGCAAAAAGUACAACAAAAAAAACUGAACAGAGGACAAACUAAACGAAACUGAAUCGCAGACAGCAACAAAACUCUUUCUGACCUUGAAGACCAAAAGCUGGGAUGUGUCUUCAAGCAUUUUAUCAUCAUUUCCGACGAAGAUUCAUUCUUAAACGUGCACACAGCGACAAGCCAUUCAAAACACACGAAAAAAAAAAAAAGUAAAAAUCAAAAAACACAACAGAGAGCAAAACCAGCCAAGUUGCAACAAUGAAAUGCGGCGACAAAAAGCCAGGGAAGAAGACCUGCCCCCAACUCGCCCCAAACCAGAACAUAUAUCCCUAUAUCAUACCCGCUAGCGGUACCGUUUUGUGCGCAUGCGUUGCGAAUGGCGGACGCGGCUCAAAGUGGAUGCCGCCGCAGAACCUUCCACCGAAGUUGGUAAAAUUGGGGGGAGCUUUAAGGGGGCUACUAAAAUUUACGCGUGUGCUAAACACGAGACUUCCACGAACCCGAAAAAAAAGAGCCCUUUAUGUGGCGUGGCCAAAGGCUGCAGUUGUCGUCUGCCUUCUUAUUGUUUCUAAAAUGAAAAACGAAAUUCCUCAGGAAACCAAAAGCGAAAAAAAACAGAAGUAGCAUUUCAUUGCUUGAAGGAUUUCUAUUGUUUGUUCGUCAAGAAAGUAAGAUGAAAUUCUUUUCACUGCUCUGGAAGACCAAACUCAAUUUGAUUUGCUGCACAGCCAGAAAAUCUAGUACCAGUAGAAUAAAUAAAUAUUCAGCCCUAUUCCUAUUUAGUUGAAUUGUUACCCAAUUGUUACUAUUCUCACAAGGAUCUUACUUGUAUACAUCUACAUUUGCCAGUUCAGGGUCUAAAAUUUCUCUGAGUGCACCUGUUUCGGAAAACAAACAAGCGAGCUGAGCUGCAACCGCUCCAACAUCAGAUCAUGAUCAUUAAAAUCCGGCCAAAAAGACAUUCCACAUCGCGGCGGGUUUAUGGCCAGCGAUCGAUUACAACGCGAAGGUCGCGCCAUCGAUCGAUCCGUCGCUCAUUAGAUGCCAAAUAAAAUGCGGUAUAAAAACAUCAACUGAAUUGGCUGCGAGACAUUUGCGUGUGAAGCGCGGACUGAAAACGGUUUUGUUUUCUGCGCCACAAGCUUUUCCAUCUCGAGUGUUGGCACGUUCUAUGGCCCACAGCCACUUGACCCAACUGGCGCCACUAACUGAAAAACCUGGAGCUUUUACAGCCCAAAACUGAAGGAAAACUGAUGGUUCGGAACACUAUAAAUCAUGUGGCGAACAACAAGAAAAAAACAGUUGAGAAGAAACCACAAAUCUGCUGAAGAGCAGAAGAUUUUACGGAGACAAAGACCCACAGAAGAUGAAGCUUCGAUCGCUUUUAACGCCCCAAGCAAAGGGUACUAAAAGCCAACAGAAGUGUAUAAAAAAGCUAAAGUGAACUAUCGCUAAAAUGAACUUCAGUUUGAAUACAGUUCCCUAUGAAAAACAAAAUUAAAUGUUUUAAAAAUGGAUGUAUAUAUUGCUUUUAAUUCAACUACAUCAAAUAACAUUAUUAACUUGACACUAUUUAGCUCAAACUCUUUAUUAUUGACCCAGUUUCCCUUUUAGUUAGUGCCCACUGUCCCCCGUAUCAGUAUCGCCUUACGUCCACCGCCUGUGUGUGUUUAUAAAUCUUCUUUUAAUUUGUGACAAGAUCAACAAGUUCAAAGUUGUUUCAAUCAAUUGACCUCGCGGCUCCCAGGGGCUACAAAUAUUGUAACAGAUCAGCCAAGAAACGAAAACAAAGCCAGUGGAGGCAAUAAAAAUGGAGAGGAGCAAAAAAAAAAUAUAUUGGUUGUGUGUAGUAGUAUCAAAUUCCAGCGAAAUUUGCGCAACAAUCAGCGAAUUGUGCACGUGCAGCAGUCUCGGGCAUUUAAUUCACUCACAUGCCGCAGAUCGUUGUUGCAGGUUGACCUACAUUUUGCUGGCAGAGAUUUGCAGUCGGCUUAUUAUUCAAUUAAAUGAACGCUGCGGCGACACAGAAUGUGUGCGUUCGAGUGCCGCGAUUGCAGUGAAAGGCCGUUGCGUAUACGCCGCGUGUGUCGGCCGCCAGUGCGUCAUGGCAUGUAACCUGUCCUCAGCCAAAACAGACCCAUUAACCCAGUUACCCAGCCCCCGUUUCCCUGCCAAUGAUACUGCAUACUACUGCUACUACGACUACUACUACUACUUUUGCCUUUGUUUGCCUCAAUUUAAAGUUCAAUUUCAUUGGCCCUGGUCGCGGCUCUCGAAUUGAUGUGACAACUUUGAAGACGACUCGUGUGGGUCAAUGAGCUCAAUACUCUGGAACGCUGCGCUCAAAUGACGCCAAAGUUAUCAGCAAAAUUUAUGGAAAAUGUGCCAAAAAUAAACAGAAUAUGAGACAAAC